rnacentral:pre_miRNA from 1 species
AUCCCCUGGGGAUCUUGUUAAAAAUGCAGAUUCUGCUUCAAGAGGUCUAGGCCGGGGCCCAGGAUUCUGCGUUUUUAACAAGCUCCCAGGUGAUGUGGA